rnacentral:rRNA from 1 species
UACGUAGGGUGCAAGCGUUGUCCGGAAUUAUUGGGCGUAAAGAGCUCGUAGGCGGUCUGUCGCGUCGGCUGUGAAAACUCGGGGCUCAACUCCGAGCUUGCGGUCGAUACGGGCAGGCUAGAGUGCGGCAGGGGAGACUGGAAUUCCUGGUGCAGCGGUGAAAUGCGCAGAUAUCAGGAGGAACACCGGUGGCGAAGGCGGGUCUCUGGGCCGAUACUGACGCUGAGGAGCGAAAGCGUGGGGAGCAAACAGG